rnacentral:lncRNA from 1 species
GGCCAAACCAUCAUUCUAGACAGUUAUUCCUAGAGUUAAAAAAAAGAAGAAAUUUCACAGAAUUCCCAGGUUUGCAGAAAAGCCACUGAUUGAGCUGCUGUGUUUGUGUCCAUGCAAGCAACUGCAGCCACCUCUACAAUUCAGUUUAGUGACUUUAUUUAUUUAUUUAUUUAGGCAACCUGGCCAUUCAACAUCUGCCUCUUGGAGGGCCCUGUGGAAAACUGUGUGGCCAUAAUGUGAGCCACUCCCAAGAGAAAGGUUCUUAGUCAGCAAAGGUGGUCACGCUAGUUGGAAGAGUCAAAAGGAAUUAAACUCCUGUCCCAUGAUCUUUAGAUCUAACAGAGGCACUGGUUCCCUCUUUCAAAGCUUUUUGUAGGAAGGCCUGUCAUUUGUGAGGCUCUCUGGCUUCAGGCUUCUGCCUAUCUUCUGCGAGGCACUGAAUCCCAAAAGAAGUGGAAAGUGGUUGGUCGGGGACAGUGGUGUGCUGGUAGACCCGCUCUCUGGGGGAUGGUAAAGGAAAGCCUUGGUUUCCUGCAUUUGCCCGAUAUCUGUGGUGCAAAUACUUUCCCCAUGGUGGCUUUCAAGCUACCAAGGAUUCACAACCGGCUCACAGAAUUCCUGAAAAUUUAACAAUCCACUCUCAUGCGCCUGCUGCAGCCAUUUCCAGCCCACCUCUGUAGCUCUCUAAACAGCAGGGCCUCAUGGAUGAGACUAGAGAGGGGAGAUGUAGCUGGCUCUGUUUAAUUCUGUGAGGUCAAACCACACCUGGGAGGGUGUGUCUGGUUUCAAAGCCUACAUUGUAAGAGGAACAUAGGCACACUGAAAAUUGUUUGAUUUGGGCAAGAAGCAAUUUCGUCUGAAAAGCCCACCGGGAGACCUAUUGCUGGAAUGAGAAUCCAGGGGAAGAAAAACACAGGGUAUCCUGGCCAUUGUUUCCAAAUCUCUGUGGGGCUGUAAGGUACUUUUCCUGAGGCGUGGAAUCUGAACAAAUGGGUUGGGGAGGCGUCUAGAACCGGGAUGCUGAUUUCAGCUCAACCUAGGACUUUUCCGAUAAAGCCACCCAGAGAAAGGCAGAGCUGCCUGGCACCAUGAGGAAUGCCAUCACUAAAAGAAUAGCAUAAAGAACAUAGGGCACCCACUAGGUGGGGCUGUGACCGUGGGGACUCCAGGGGCCCCUUCUAGUUCCUGGGGUCUGAUCCUGCAAUGGACUCUUCUUCCUUUUCCUAGGUAGCCAGUUUUAUCUUCUCACUUUCCACUCCCCUUUUCUCUUUCUCCUCUUUCCUGGGCUCUUUUUCUUAGCUGCCUUUAGCCUCUUUACUGGGUUGAUCUUCCUUCUGGGACAUUGACCUCUAGAGCUUCCUGCACAGAGCGGACUCAGCCCCUUCUCUUUCUCAGGACCCACUUACACCCCCGGGGGAGAGAGCAGGGGCCCUCCUUGUCUUAUUUUUCCUUGCUUUCUCUUCUCUCUUCCAACAUUCUCAGCUCCACAUUUGUGAUUGAAGAAGGGCAAAUAAACAAAUUGAAACUGAAACUGAGCAUUGGCCAUAAAGUGAGGACAUCUGGGAGGCUUGGCCCUGAGUGCACCUGAGAAUGCUGAAAAGAAAAGCCAAGUUCACGGACAAAAAAAGAAUCACCCAAGCUGCUUUCACCUGCCUGCGAUUUCCCAGGAAGCCAGUUUGUCUUUAAGAAGUGAGACCCAUUUGAGAAUGAGUAAUGUCUUAGGCUCUUUAGUCUAAUGCUUAGAGAAUUCCACUUUCUUCUUUCGCUCGGCCUCCCCCUGAGCUCCCCUUUCUCUGUCCCCAACUCCAUUUUAUUUAAUCUUUCUAAAUGGAUAUUGUAGCCUCAGGGACUAAAAGAAUGACACAUGGAUAAACAGGAACUAAGCUCCUAAGCUUUUCCCCUACCUGCCAUCUUCCUCACCACGCAUGAGGAUUAGAAGCAUCACAAAGAAAGCAGUCUCGGAAGUUUGUCAAAUAGAGAUUUCUGGGUGAUGGUUUGGGAAAGGAUGAUUUAGAUCGUGCCUCUCCUGGGUCGGGAAAGUGACUGAAACACAUAACAGCAGAGAACUUGAAGUGCUGGUUUGAGCUUCAGGAGAUGUGAGUUCUAGCCCCAGUGCUGCCUGUGAUUUUCUCUGUGACCUGGGACAAGUCCCUUGUGGAUACGACAGGAUAUGCGGGCUACAGGGAUCUCUGAGGCUUCUCCCAGGGAGUUUCUGCAACCAGAUUUCCAGUGAGAUGAAUUAAUCAGCUAAUGCUGCAGAGACACUAAAUGAGAUGACAGGCAGCUCCCACAAAGCAGAUGCUCAAUUAAUUGCUGAGUAAUACUUCAUUGUCUGGAUGUACUACAGUUUAUGUAUCCAUUUACCUACUGAAGAACAUCUUGGCUGCUUCCAAGUUUUGACAAUUAUGAAUAAAGGUGCCAUAAAA